AUUGAACGCUGGCGGCAGGCCUAACACAUGCAAGUCGAACGAGUGGCGGACGGGUGAGUAAUGUCUGGGAAACUGCCUGAUGGAGGGGGAUAACUACUCGAAACGGUAGCUAAUACCGCAUACCAUCAGAUGUGCCCAGAUGGGAUUAGCUAGUUGGUGGGGUAACGGCUCCCCGAGGCGACGAUCCCUAGCUGGUCUGCGAGGAUGACCAGCCACACUGUAACUGAGACACGGUCCAGACUCCUACGGGAGGCAGCAGUGGGGAAUAUUGCACAAUGGGCGCAAGCCUGAUGCAGCCAUGCCGCGUGUAUGAAGAAGGCCUUCGGGUUGUAAAGUACUUUCAGCGGGGAGGCGUUACCCGCAGAAGAAGCACCGGCUAACUCCGUGCCAGCAGCCGCGGUAAUAC
rnacentral:rRNA from 1 species